rnacentral:rRNA from 1 species
AGUGAACGCUGGCGGUAGGCCUAACACAUGCAAGUCGAACGGCAGCACAGUAAGAUCUUGCUCUUACGGGUGGCGAGUGGCGGACGGGUGAGGAAUACAUCGGAAUCUACUUUUUCGUGGGGGAUAACGUAGGGAAACUUACGCUAAUACCGCAUACGACCUACGGGUGAAAGCAGUGGAUCUUCGGACCUUGCGCGAUUGAAUGAGCCGAUGUCGGAUUAGCUAGUUGGCGGGGUAAAGGCCCACCAAGGCGACGAUCCGUAGCUGGUCUGAGAGGAUGAUCGGCGACACUGGAACUGAGACACGGUCCAGACUACUAAGGGAGGCAGCAGUGGGGAAUAUUGGACAGUGGGCGCAAGCAUGAUCCAGCCAUACCGCGUGGGUGAAGAAGGCCUUCGGGUUGUGAAGCCCGUUUGUUGGGAAAGAAAAGCAGCAGGUUAAUACGCAGCUGUUCUGACGGUACCCAAAGAAUAAGCACCGGCUAACUUCGUG